rnacentral:rRNA from 1 species
GCUUGUCUCAAAGAUUAAGCCAUGCAUGUCUCAGUACAAGCCAAAUUAAGGUGAAACCGCGAAAGGCUCAUUAAAUCAGUUAUGGUUCCUUAGAUCGUACCCACAAUUACUUGGAUAACUGUGGUAAUUCUAGAGCUAAUACAUGCAAACAGAGCUCCGACCGGAGACGGAAGGAGUGCUUUUAUUAGAUCAAAACCAAUCGGUGGCGGGUUCGCUCGUUAUCGUACAACUUGGUGACUCUGAAUAACUUUUCGCUGAUCGCACGGUCAUCGCACCGGCGACGCAUCUUUCAAAUGUCUGCCUUAUCAACUGUCGAUGGUAGGUUCUGCGCCUACCAUGGUUGUAACGGGUAACGGGGAAUCAGGGUUCGAUUCCGGAGAGGGAGCCUGAGAAACGGCUACCACAUCCAAGGAAGGCAGCAGGCGCGCAAAUUACCCACUCCCGGCACGGGGAGGUAGUGACGAAAAAUAACGAUACGGGACUCAUCCGAGGCCCCGUAAUCGGAAUGAGUACACUCUAAACCCUUUAACGAGGAUCAAUUGGAGGGCAAGUCUGGUGCC